rnacentral:rRNA from 1 species
GACGAACGCUGGCGGCGUGCCUAAUACAUGCAAGUCGAGCGGACGUUUUAUUGGUGCUUGCACCGAUAAAACGUUAGCGGCGGACGGGUGAGUAACACGUGGGCAACCUACCCUAUAGUUUGGGAUAACUCCGGGAAACCGGGGCUAAUACCGAAUAAUACUUUUUGGCUCCUGUCAGAAAGUUGAAAGAUGGUUUACGCUAUCGCUAUAGGAUGGGCCCGCGGCGCAUUAGCUAGUUGGUGAGGUAACGGCUCACCAAGGCAACGAUGCGUAGCCGACCUGAGAGGGUGAUCGGCCACACUGGGACUGAGACACGGCCCAGACUCCUACGGGAGGCAGCAGUAGGGAAUCUUCCACAAUGGGCGAAAGCCUGAUGGAGCAACGCCGCGUGAGUGAAGAAGGAUUUCGGUUCGUAAAACUCUGUUGUUAGAGAAGAACAGGAGAAGUAGUAACUGGCUUCUUUUUGACGGUAUCUAACCAGAAAGCCACGGCUAACUACGUGCCAGCCGCCGCCGUAAAAC